rnacentral:lncRNA from 1 species
UAAAAUGUUGGGACUGAUAAAAUAUAAGCCGUUACUAUAACAAUUUCCAGGCUGGAAAUCCAGGCAGCUGCCCGACCUUUCCCUCUUUUUCUCCAUAUAUAGACGCCACCAAUCCCACUACAAAUUUAUCAUCACACAUUUCGUCGCUAUUUUUUUAUUUUAAAAAUAAAAGGUUUCUUUUAACGCUUAAGAAUUCCGACAACAAUGGCUCUAUACAGGACUUCUUUGAUGCUUGUUCUCGUCGCUGUUUGCGCCCUCAUGGGUUCUGCCAUCGCAGCUGACGCCCCAGCUCCAAGCCCCACCUCGGGAACGGGCUCGAUCUCUAUCUCCUUCGUCUCUGUUUUCGUCGCCGCCGCUAUGGCUCUGUUUUUCGGAUCUACUCUCAGGAUCUGAAGAUGCUAUAUUACCUCUUGUGGUGGCCUGUCCUUGGGUUGGCGGCUUUGGAUGUUGUAGAAAUGGUGCUCGGUGUUUCAUUUAUAUACAUAUAUGUAUGUUUGUUUUAAAUUUGGUUUGGAAUUUUAGUGGUGGUAAUAGUGGAUCUAGGGAGUGAGUAUAUAUAUCAUAUAGAGAGAGAGCGGUAGCUAUGUUAUGUUCUACAUAGAUUAUUGAUGGUUGAUGUUUGUACUUAAAUUAUUUCAGUAUUUUUUAUGGAUUGAUAUCAUUUUUAUUAUUAUAAUGUGAGAUCGUUUGUUUUAUUUAUACUCCAUUUGGUUCUUAAUUUCUUGCGUUUUCUUUUUUUCUAGAAAUUUCUUGCGUUUUCUCAGCAGCCAAACAACAGUAGCAGCAUAUUCUCUGGGACCACUGUCUUGGUCUUGCUUCGCUCUGAAGUUUGAUCAGACCUUUAAGACAAAUUUACCCUUCAAACUCCAUUAAUGCUUGGUAAAUAUCCUCUCUAAUUCUAUUCUCCAAAUGAUGAAUGGGGUCACUUACUUUUUAUGUUAAAAAAAAAAAAAAAAAGCCAGAAUAUGUUAAAAAAUAACUUUAAAAACUUUUCACAAGUCUGGCAAUGCAAGCUCUUAUUUAUUUAAAUUAUAUAAUAUAAUUAUAUUAUUAAAAAAAUUUAAUCAUUUAUUAUAUAUUGAUAAUUAAUUGAUAAAUAUUUGUAAUUCUUGUGUAUAUAAUAAAUUGUUAACUUUUUUAAUAACAUAAUUAAAUAAUAUGGUUUAAAUUAAAAAAAAAAAAAAAACAUGUAUUUUUUUGGGUUGGAACAUCCAAAUCCUGAAGUUUGCAGCGUGGAUGCGCACUCGCAAAUUGGCGGUUUUUAAGGUCUUUUACUACUAAUGAUUCGAGAUGUUCACGAAAAGUUAACGUUCUUUGACAAUAAUAAUACCAAGUGGCUUCUUAUUGGAUUUUCUUUUCUUUCAAGAACGCUUUAUUACAACGAACCAAACACAGAAAAGUGGUGGGUGUCAGACCAUAACUUGAGUGCUUUGGAAAAUUUAAGAUGGUGGUUGAUUGAAAUUUUGAUAAAUGACUAAAUCACACACUAUUUUUAUUGCAUUCUGGAAUCCGGAGCAUUUUUCUUCUUCUCCACCGAGAAUGAAACCCCUUCUUUCUUUUAGUUUUUUUUUUUUUUUUUUGAUAAAUUAGGCUUAUUUUGAUGUUUUAAUGUGGGCCCUAUAUUCAAUUUUAAGUUAUUUAUAUUCCAAUCAACUAAUCAUGUAGUGGUAUUUUAAUUGCCAAUUUAUGAACUAAUUUGAAGUCAAUUUGGAGAUAAUCUCUCUCAAAGGAGUUACAUGUCAACUUCUAGAUUUGACACAAUACAUUUGCUUUGUCCCGUUUGAAGCUGCAUUGAACUACAUGGAAAUUUUGAGUAUUAUUUGGAUUUCUUUUUAUUUGGUCUUACGGAAGAGACAGGUCAGGAUCCCGUCAACAUUCUUUCAAAAGAAUUAGGCACAAUCUUGAUACUUAGAAAUACGUUGAUGUAUCUAUUUUAUAACAAAUAUUUAUAAAAUAUAAAAAUUAUUAUAUUGAAUUUAUAUCAAUAUGUAAACUAUGAAAUAUAUUUUUUAUUUUUAUUAAAUUUAUAUAUAAUUUUUUAAAAAUUUUAGAUUAUAUCUCUUUUAUAAUUUUCAUAUAUUUUUAUGUUGAAUUUAAAAUUAUUAAAUUUACUUAGAAGCUUGACGUGUGAUUAAAAAUCUCGAUUUCUCAUCGAUUGUCAUUGGCUAAAACAAUGAUUCCCAUUGUGUUUACAGGCCAGGAAAAACCAAGCAUCUUAACUGCGACAGUAAACCGAAGCUCUUUAGUUUAGCCAAGUAAAAGAAGUCUCGGGCUUUUGGACAUUGCAAAUACCGUCCAUUGCGUUCCCUAUGGAGUUUCAUUUUCUUUAACGUUCUUUUUUAACUUUAUCGACGUCACGUGAACAUUUACUCAUAAUAAAGCGUUCGUUCAUAAUCAUAGUGCCUCGG